CACCGCGGUUAUACGAAGGGCCCAAACCGAUAUUUAACGGCGUAAAGCGUGAUUAGAGAAUAUCAGAAACUAAAGAAGAAUGUCCCCCAAGCUGUUAUACGCUUACGAGAGACUGAAACCCAACAACGAAAGUGACUUUAAGACUUUUGAACUCACGAGAAUUAAGAAA
rnacentral:rRNA from 1 species